rnacentral:rRNA from 1 species
CCCGCUGAACUUAAGCAUAUCAAUAAGCGGAGGAAAAGAAACUAACAAGGAUUCCCCUAGUAACGGCGAGUGAAGCGGGAAGAGCUCAAGCUUAAAAUCUCCGUGCAAGUUUUGCACGGCGAAUUGUAGUCUAUAGAGGCGUGGUCAGCGUGGGCGCUCGGGGCAAGUUCCUUGGAAGAGGACAGCAUGGAGGGUGAUACUCCCGUUCAUCCCUGAGUUGCUCGUGCGUACGACCCGUUUUCUUUGAGUCGCGUUGUUUGGGAAUGCAGCGCAAAGUAGGUGGUAAAUUCCAUCUAAAGCUAAAUAUUGGUGCGAGACCGAUAGCGAACAAGUACCGUGAGGGAAAGAUGAAAAGAACUUUGAAAAGAGAGUUAAAGAGUACCUGAAACUGCUGAAAGGGAACCGAAUCGUUUCCAGUGUCUAUAAUCCGUGGCAUAUUUCAUUGGCGAGUGUGUGCGUGCGUGUGCUGUGGCAGCGGUCUUUAUGGCUGCGCUCGGCGUGUGUGCUGUGUGUGCUUGCUGGUGCCCUGUGCUGCGGUGGGACGUCAAGGUCAGUUCGUAUGCUGCGGGAAAUGGCUGCCGAGGAGGUAGGGCUUACGCUCCGCGUUUGUCUGUUAUAUCUUGGUGGACGAGUCGUCGCGGUUGGGACUGAGGUGCCUACAACGUGCUUUUGAGUGGGUUUGUGUCUCCGUGUGCGCCGUGUGCGGAUAGCUUGCUAUGCGUGUGUGGUUGUGUGUGGAUUGAUGCGGGCCUUAACUUGUUGCCGUUCGGGACGUUGACGAAAUGGAGCGAUCCGACCCGUCUUGAAACACGGACCAAGGAGUCUAACAUGUGUGCAAGUGUUAGGGUGUGGAAACCCCAGCGCGAAAUGAAAGUGAAGGGCAGCGCAAGUUGUCUGAGGUAGGAAACGUUGUGGGCUUCGGUCUGCGGCGUGGCACUAUCGACCGAUCAUGAACCUUCGUGGUGAAAGAUUUGAGUUUGAGCACAUAUGUUGGUACCCGAAAGAUGGUGAACUAUGCCUGAGUAGGGUGAAGCCAGGGGAAACUCUGGUGGAAGCUCGUAGCGAUUCUGACGUGCAAAUCGAUCGUCAAACUUGGGUAUAGGGGCGAAAGACUAAUCGAACCAUCUAGUAGCUGGUUCCCUCCGAAAUUUCCCUCAGGAUAGCAGCAACUUAUUUACGAUAGUUUUAUGAGGUAAAGCGAAUGAUUAGAGGAUUCGGGGAAGAAACUUCCUCGACCUAUUCUCAAACUUUAAAUCUGUAAGACCUGCAGGUUUCUUAAUUGAACUUGUGGAUGUGAAUAUCAAGUUGCUAGUGGGCCAUACGGGGUAAGCUCGUCUGGCG